rnacentral:lncRNA from 1 species
CAUUCAUUCCCUGUCAUUUUUCUCUUUCAGGUUUUCCCCUCUCCUUCCAUGCUCUCCAUUGCUUCUGUUGUUUUACCUGCUAUGGAAAGGCACCCACUGUCUUGUGGUAGUGUAGUAGAAGUCCCAGAAAUGAUUGGAGAAGUUGAAUUGGGUGAAACAAAACACAAGGCUAAAGUUGAAGAUAUAAUUGAUCACAUGCUUCUAAAAGAUAAAAUACUAGCCUCUUCCUGCGUCCUUCCAGAAGGUUGGAGUCAGAAAUGA